AUUGAACGCUGGCGGCAGGCCUAACACAUGCAAGUCGAGCGGAUGAAGGGAGCUUGCUCCUGGAUUCAUCGGCGGACGGGUGAGUAAUGCCUAGGAAUCUGCCUGGUAGUGGGGGAUAACGUCCGGAAACGGGCGCUAAUACCGCAUACGUCCUGAGUGGGAAAGUGGGGGAUCUUCGGACCUCACGCUAUCAGAUGAGCCUAGGUCGGAUUAGCUAGUUGGUGGGGUAAAGGCCUACCAAGGCGACGAUCCGUAACUGGUCUGAGAGGAUGAUCAGUCACACUGGAACUGAGACACGGUCCAGACUCCUACGGGAGGCAGCAGUGGGGAAUAUUGGACAAUGGGCGAAAGCCUGAUCCAGCCAUGCCGCGUGUAUGAAGAAGGUCUUCGGAUUGUAAAGCACUUUAAGUUGGGAGGAAGGGCAGUAAGUUAAUACCUUGCUGUUUUGACGUUACCAACAGAAUAAGCACCGGCUAACUUCGUG
rnacentral:rRNA from 1 species